rnacentral:rRNA from 1 species
CACGGAGUUAGCCGGAGCUUAUUCUCCAGGUACUGUCAUUAUCAUCCCUGGUAAAAGAGCUUUACAACCCUAAGGCCUUCAUCACCCACGCGGCAUUGCUGGAUCAGGCUUUCGCCCAUUGUCCAAUAUUCCCCACUGCUGCCUCCCGUAGGAGUCUGGGCCGUGUCUCAGUCCCAGUGUGGCUGAUCAUCCUCUCAGACCAGCUAUGGAUCGUCGCCUUGGUAGGCCUUUACCCCACCAACUGGCUAAUCCAACGCGGGCCCAUCUAAAGGCGAUAAAUCUUUGGUCCGAAGACAUCAUCCGGUAUUAGCAGUCGUUUCCAACUGUUAUUCCGAACCUAAAGGCAGGUUCCCACGCGUUACGCACCCGUGCGCCACUAACCCCGAAGGGUUCGUUCGACUUGCAUGUGUUAGGCAUGCCGCCAGCGUUCGUUCUGAGCCAGGAUCAAACUCU